rnacentral:rRNA from 1 species
GACGAACGCUGGCGGCGUGCUUAAUACAUGCAAGUCAACUGAACUUGAAGUAGCAAUAUUUCAAGGGAGGUGGCGCACGGGUGAGUAACACGUAGGUAAUCUGCCUUUAGGUCUGACAUAAUUCCGCGAAAGCGGGACUAACUUCAGAUGAUGCAGCGGCUCGACAUCGAGACAGUUGUUAAAUCUUCGGAGCCUAAAGAUGAGCCUGCGUCUGAUUAGGUAGUUGGCGGAGUAAAAGCCCACCAAGCCUGCGAUCAGUAGCUGGUCUGAGAGGAUGAUCAGCCACACUGGAACUGAGACACGGUCCAGACUCCUACGGGAGGCAGCAGUAAGGAAUAUUGCUCAAUGGCCGAAAGGCUGAAGCAGCAACGCCGCGUGGAG